rnacentral:rRNA from 1 species
GGACAAUGGGCGCAAGCCUGAUCCAGCCAUACCGCGUGGGUGAAGAAGGCCUUCGGGUUGUAAAGCCCUUUUGUUGGGAAAGAAAAGCAGUCGAUUAAUACUCGGUUGUUCUGACGGUACCCAAAGAAUAAGCACCGGCUAACUUCGUGCCAGCAGCCGCGGUAAUACGAAGGGUGCAAGCGUUACUCGGAAUUACUGGGCGUAAAGCGUGCGUAGGUGGUUGUUUAAGUCUGUUGUGAAAGCCCUGGGCUCAACCUGGGAAUUGCAGUGGAUACUGGGCGACUAGAGUGUGGUAGAGGGUAGUGGAAUUCCCGGUGUAGCAGUGAAAUGCGUAGAGAUCGGGAGGAACAUCCAUGGCGAAGGCAGCUACCUGGACCAACACUGACACUGAGGCACGAAAGCGUGGGGAGCAAACAGGAUUAAAUACCCUGGUAGUCCACGCCCUAAACGAUGCGAACUGGAUGUUGGGUGCAAUUUGGCACGCANUAUCGAAGCUAACGCGUUAAGUUCGCCGCCUGGGGAGUACGGUCGCAAGACUGAAACUCAAAGGAAUUGACGGGGGCCCGCACAAGCGGUGGAGUAUGUGGUUUAAUUCGAUGCAACGCGAAGAACCUUACCUGGUCUUGACAUGUCGAGAACUUUCCAGAGAUGGAUUGGUGCCUUCGGGAACUCGAACACAGGUGCUGCAUGGCUGUCGUCACCUCGUGUCCUGAAAUGUUGGGUAAGUCCCGCAACGAGCGCAACCCUUGUCCUUAGUUGCCAGCACGUAAUGGUGGGAACUCUAAGGAGACCGCCGGUGACAAACCGGAGGAAGGUGGGGAUGACGUCAAGUCAUCAUGGCCCUUACGACCAGGGCUACACACGUACUACAAUGGUAGGGACAGAGGGCUGCAAACCCGCGAGGGCAAGCCAAUCCCAGAAACCCUAUCUCAGUCCGGAUUGGAGUCUGCAACUCGACUCCAUGAAGUCGGAAUCGCUAGUAAUCGCAGAUCAGCAUUGUUGCGGGAACUUCC